GUCGAACGGUGAACACGGAGCUUGCUCUGUGGGAUCAGUGGCGAACGGGUGAGUAACACGUGAGCAACCUGCCCCUGACUCUGGGAUAAGCGCUGGAAACGGCGUCUAAUACUGGAUACGAACCAUGAAGGCAUCUUCAGUGGUUGGAAAGAUUUAUUGGUUGGGGAUGGGCUCGCGGCCUAUCAGCUUGUUGGUGAGGUAAUGGCUCACCAAGGCGUCGACGGGUAGCCGGCCUGAGAGGGUGACCGGCCACACUGGGACUGAGACACGGCCCAGACUCCUACGGGAGGCAGCAGUGGGGAAUAUUGCACAAUGGGCGCAAGCCUGAUGCAGCAACGCCGCGUGAGGGAUGACGGCCUUCGGGUUGUAAACCUCUUUUAGCAGGGAAGAAGCGAAAGUGACGGUACCUGCAGAAAAAGCGCCGGCUAACUACGUGCCAGCAGCCGCGGUAAUACGUAGGGCGCAAGCGUUAUCCGGAAUUAUUGGGCGUAAAGAGCUCGUAGGCGGUUUGUCGCGUCUGCUGUGAAAUCCGGAGGCUCAACCUCCGGCCUGCAGUGGGUACGGGCAGACUAGAGUGCGGUAGGGGAGAUUGGAAUUCCUGGUGUAGCGGUGGAAUGCGCAGAUAUCAGGAGGAACACCGAUGGCGAAGGCAGAUCUCUGGGCCGUAACUGACGCUGAGGAGCGAAAGGGUGGGGAGCAAACAGGCUUAGAUACCCUGGUAGUCCACCCCGUAAACGUUGGGAACUAGUUGUGGGGUCCAUUCCACGGAUUCCGUGACGCAGCUAACGCAUUAAGUUCCCCGCCUGGGG
rnacentral:rRNA from 1 species